ACGUAGGGUGCAAGCGUUAAUCGGAAUUACUGGGCGUAAAGCGUGCGCAGGCGGUUUUGUAAGUCUGUCGUGAAAUCCCCGGGCUCAACCUGGGAAUUGCGAUGGAGACUGCAAGGCUAGAAUCUGGCAGAGGGGGGUAGAAUUCCACGUGUAGCAGUGAAAUGCGUAGAGAUGUGGAGGAACACCGAUGGCGAAGGCAGCCCCCUGGGUCAAGAUUGACGCUCAUGCACGAAAGCGUGGGGAGCAAACAGGAUUAGAUACCCUGGUAGUCCACGCCCUAAACGAUGUCUACUAGUUGUCGGGUUUUAAUUAACUUGGUAGCGCAGCUAACGCGUGAAGUAGACCGCCUGGGGAGUACGGUCGCAAGAUUA
rnacentral:rRNA from 1 species